CAGUCGCCGCGGUAAUACGUAGGGUGCAAGCGUUAAUCGGAAUUACUGGGCGUAAAGCGCGCGUAGGUGGUUUGUUAAGUUGGAUGUGAAAGCCCCGGGCUCAACCUGGGAACUGCAUCCAAAACUGGCAAGCUAGAGUACGGUAGAGGGUGGUGGAAUUUACUGUGUAGCGGUGAAAUGCGUAGAUAUAGGAAGGAACACCAGUGGCGAAGGCGACCACCUGGACUGAUACUGACACUGAGGUGCGAAAGCGUGGGGAGCAAACAGGAUUAGAUACCCGUGUAGUCCCUGUCUCUUAUAC
rnacentral:rRNA from 1 species